CGGGGCACCUGGCUGGCUCAGUCAGAAGAGCAUGCGACUCUUGAUCUUGGGGUUGUAAGUUUGAGACCCACUUUGGGUGUAGAGGUUACUUAAAAAUAAAAUCUU